rnacentral:rRNA from 2 species
CAAGUCUGGUGCCAGCAGCCGCGGUAAUUCCAGCUCCAAUAGCGUAUAUUAAAGUUGUUGCAGUUAAAAAGCUCGUAGUUGAAUUUCGGGGUUAGUAGGUUGGUCAUGCCUCUGGUAUGCACUGGCCUCACUGAUUCCUCCUUCCUGAUGAGCCGUAAUGCCAUUAAUUUGGUGUUGCGGGGAAUUUGGACUGUUACUUUGAAAAAAUUAGAGUGUUUAAAGCAAGCUAACGCUUGAAUACAUUAGCAUGGAAUAAUGAAAUAGGACGUUCGAUCCUAUUUUGUUGGUUUCUAGGAUUGACGUAAUGAUUAAUAGGGAUAGUUGGGGGCAUUAGUAUUCAAUUGUCAGAGGUGAAAUUCUUGGAUUUAUUGAAGACUAACUACUGCGAAAGCAUUUGCCAAGGAUGUUUUCAUUAAUCAAGAACGAAAGUUAGGGGAUCGAAGACGAUCAGAUACCGUCGUAGUCUUAACCAUAAACUAUGCCGACUAGGGAUCGGAUGAUGUUAAUUUUUUAAUGACUCA